UUGUUUCAUAUUUUAGUUUUUGACAAUAACCUAAGUUUAUUAUAAAAGAUAUACCAUGACCUUACCUUAUUUUAUUCAAAUCUGAUGAGAAAUGAAGGAUAUUAAUAUGUGGGUAAUAAUUUACAGAUACUCAAAUCAGAAAGAACUGGAUUCAAAUAAAAUUGUCAUUUUUUACUCAUUAGGAUAAGUUACCUCUCUGAUUCUUCGAACUAUAUGAUAUAGAUUCCAGUCUGAAGGAGAGAAUGUGUUGGAAAAAAACACAGGCAUUCACUGAUUCUAUGCAUGUCUGUUAAAUUCCUGAGGUCUAAUGGAGAUGCAAAGAGCAAAAGACUCAGCUUUGCAAUCCGUUCUCCCUUGAUGUUCAGAUGUCUUCAUUCACUUCCUUAUUCCAGACUGUUAGGAAAGUCCAAAAUAAAUUGAAAUACGUAGUUUAUAAAGCCCUUGAAAUAACUAUAACCUAUAACAUAAUUCUUGGUUAAUAAUUAUAAGAAUUAUGCAUAUCUUUGCAUAAUGGAGUUUGCUUAACUAAUCUUGUAAAUACUAGCUUAAACCUAGAAAUAAACUGUCUACAGAUCAAACAAAAAAUUUCAAGUAUAUUUUGAAUAAACUAAUGUUUCUCUUUUUCUCUUCAAAAUUAGAGAUAGUAUUGUUUUGUGAAUGAAGUCAGUUAAAAAAAAGAAAAGCUACUUUUAAAAAUCCAGACUCUUCAAUAUGCUACCUGACUAACCUUGGGAAAGUUGCAAGCUAUUUAUUUAAGCUUGGCCAUGUGCUUGGACAUGGAAGCAUACCAUGAAUAAUAAUAGUACCUACCUCAUAGAGAAGCUAUGAGAAUUGCAUAAAAUAUUGCAUGUAAAGAGCAAAUAAUUCAGUGUAUUUGCAUUUCUGUAUCCUGUGCAUGGAACUCUUUUCCCACAAAUAAGCAAGGCCCUUCAUCAGAAAGAAUUUUCCUAAUCCCAUUUUAAAUAGCAUCCUUCACUUUCUCACCUCCCCUCAUCACAUCUCAAAUAACAUGGCCAUGCAUUAGGAAAAAAAAAAAAAAGUUCAAAGAAUCUGACAGCUUGCCUAAACAGUUUUCUUACAGGGUCAUUCCUACUGACACAGUUCUCAAGAUAAAUUUUAAUAAAGAGGAAUCUCCUUUUUAGAACUGAGAAAAUGUUGAAUGUCAUAUAUCAACAAAAGCCUGAUUUCUUGGGGGACAGACACUUUGUAUACUUCAGCAUACAAUAGUUUUCUAAUCUUCAAAAAUAUUUUUAAUUAAAGCAAUUGUCACACAACUGUGAUGUUGUCACUUAUCAGCAUAAUGAAUUUAAACUGAAGGCCACUCUUACUGUGAGGAAGAGUUGAUUAGCUGGAGGGACUGUAUUGGUAAUAAUUAGAAAAGUGCAGUGGUGCAAAUCAAUAUCUUGGUGCUGAGACUUUCCUUGGGGAAUCUAAACCAUAACAAAGCUGUCAAGCUGCUGGGAGAUGGGGAUGUUGCUGAUUUGUGUUGCUAAUUUAUUCUCUGAUAUUUUUAAUUUAAACACUUUAUACAUUAAUAAACAAAGAUAUUUGACUUAAUAGUAUUUAAGGAUUACUUGAUAACCUAAUUGUGACCUUUUUUGGGAGGAAAGGAGGAAACAUUACCAGAAUUAUUAUAAUUUAUUUUGGUCAAUGUUUAGCAAAUAGCAGUCACUUGCUAUUUAGUGUUAUAAUUUUUAUAUUAGUAAUUUUAUUUCAAAUGUUUGCAUUUAUAAGGAGAGACAAUAUAAAAUAGACAGGACAGUCUCUUGACUACUGAAUUAUAGUCAUGGCCACUUAAACAGCAUGCGUCAAGAAUGCUUAAUGUAAAGGAGAACUAUCUCACUUAUCAUAGAUUUUUAGGUUAUCAAGGAUAAUAACUUCUUGGAAGAGUUCAUUUAUGGUAGCAUUUUCAAAAGUCUUUUUCCUGUAUUAUAUUCUAAGUUUUUCUGCAAAUCAGACACAGAAUUUUGUGCAAAAGCACAAUUUUUGGAGCUCAGUUUGCUGAUAUUAAGAGAUUGGAAUUUGGUUACAGUUAUUUAUUGCUGCCUACCAAAUUACUUCAAACUUUGUGGCGUUAUGCAAAAAUGCUCAUGAAAUCUGUAGAUCAUGAAUUUGGAACUGGUAAAACAGGAUGACUUGUCUUUUGCUUUAUGAUUUCUGGGAGGGUAUCAGAGGGUAAUGUAAAUGAUGGUUAGGGGCUAGAAUAAUUUGCUCACUGCCUAGUAGAGUAGCUACUAUUUAUCUUUAAAUAUGCAUUAAUUAAAAUGAAAUGCAAAUAAUAAUUUAAUUAUAUAGUUAUAUUAGCCAUAUUUUAAAUGUUUAAGAGGCACAAUGUAGUGGCUCCCCAAGUAGACAUUUCAGAUAUACAGAACAUUUCCAUCAUCACAGGAAGUUCUUUAAACUGUACUAAUCUAGAGACAUCGUGACUCACAUGUCUAACACCUGGGCUGGGAAUGACUCAGGUUUGGAACAAGUGGGAUUGUUGAUGUACGUAUGCAACAUUUCCGUUAGGAGUUCUUAGGGCAUGGAAGCUGAAUUCUAGGAGAAAGAUUUUCAACAGCAUGCAUUCCAAGAGAACCAGGCAGAAACUGUUGGCCUUUUAUGCUUCAGCUUCCGAAGUCACAUAGGGUUAUCUCAACAUACAUUAUUGGACACAUGAUGAGCCUAUCCACCCAGAUUUCAGACGUGAGGAUAGAGAACCUAUAGAAGUUUGCUGAGUUUCCUUAAAACAAUUAUUUUACAUUGUUAGGAAGUUCAUACAUCCACAUUUCUUUAUGAUUGAUUACUGGUUACUGAUGCUUUAUUUCUUUGGUGAUUUCAUGUUUUCCUGAUUGUCCUUAAUCCUUGUGGCCAGCUAUUGGUGUCUGUCCAUCUGAAGAAGUGGAGACUUACUCCAGUCUUUGCAGACUGGCUUGUUUGGGAAAGCCCUUCACCAGUCAGCUCCCACAGAGAUUUUAAACAGGCUGGCUAUUGUGGUCCAGGAGUGGGCUUGCAGCUAGAGUCCUCAUGCAAGCUGGCCUUUUGUCUGUGCCCACUGGGGUAGACCUUUUUUUUUUAGGUUUGCUGCAGUAGGCUUGAAGCCUGGGUUUGCAAGUAUGAGCCUGCAGCCUGUAUCCACAGGGGCUGGCCUGAGCCUGUUUCCAUAGGAGCUGCGAUGAUGCUCAGGUAGGCUUUUGAUCUGCAAAGGUCACCCAGGUGUUGGAAUGGACCUUGUGUCUGUGUCUACAGGGGCCAGCCUGUCGGUUGGGUUGACAGGUGCUGUUCUGAUAACUACCAGCCCAGUGUCAGGGUCAAUCUGGAGGCUGGGGCCACUGGGGCCAUCCUUGCUCUUUGGUAGGCCUAGGGACUGAGUCUUGGAGGUGGGCCCAGAACCUACAUCUGGAGGUGAGGGGAGGGCAGUUGAGGGGAGGAGAGGGCACGGGAAGAGCAGGAAGGGGACAAUUCAUAUGCUCCGCGAUAAAUGCUGAGAUUCUGAUUCUUCGAUAAAACUUAGUUUUACAUUUCUGCCUUUGGAUUUUGAGAGAUAGCCCUGUGUUUUUGACAAAAAAAAAAAAAAAAAA